AUUGAACGCUGGCGGCAGGCCUAACACAUGCAAGUCGAGCGAGUGGCGGACGGGUGAGUAAUAUAUCUGAACGUGCCCCGUAUCGGGGGGGAUCUCCACGAGAGAGUGGCUAAUAUCGCAUACUUUGAGCGGCCGAUAUGGGAUUAGCUAGUUGGUGGGGUAUAGGCGCACCAAGGCGACGAUCCCUAGCUGGUUUGAGAGGACGACCAGCCACACUGGGACUGAGACACGGCCCAGACUCCUACGGGAGGCAGCAGUGGGGAAUUUUGGACAAUGGGGGAAAGCCUGAUCCAGCCAUCCCGCGUGUAUGAGAAGGCCUUCGGGUUGUAAAGUACUUUUGGCAGGGAAGCGGUAUCUGCAGAAUAAGCACCGGCUAACUACGUGCCAGCAGCCGCGGUAAUUC
rnacentral:rRNA from 1 species